GACGAACGCUGGCGGCGUGUCUAACACAUGCAAGUCGAGCGGACGGACGAGACUCUUGCUUCUUUGUCGUUUGCGGCGCACGGGCGUGACACAUGUGGAUCACCUCCUUUAUUGACUGGGAUACCUAGGGGACCCCGGCGCUUAUACCUUAUGAUCUUUUGAACCGCGUUGCUCAAUAGUGAAUUACGGUCUUGCUGUUCCAUAUAGAUGGUUCCCCGCUGCAUUAGCUAGUUGAUAAGGCAACAGCUUAUCAAGGCAACGAUGCAUAUCCGACCUGAUAGGGUGGUUGGCCACACUGGAACGGAGACACGGUCCAUACUCCUACGGGAGGCAGCAGUAGGCAAACUUCCGCAAUGGGCGAAAGCCUUACGGAGCAACGCCGCGGGAGUGAGGAGGGUCGUCGGAUCGUAAAACUCUGUUAUUAGGUAAGAAAAUAUGUGUAAGUAACUGUGCACAUCAUGACGGUUCCUAAGCAGAAAGGCACGGCUAACUUCGGG
rnacentral:rRNA from 1 species